rnacentral:rRNA from 1 species
UGGUGCAUGGCCGUUCUUAGUUGGUGGAGUGAUUUGUCUGGUUAAUUCCGAUAACGAACGAGACCUCAACCUACUAAAUAGUUAAUGCAGACUCUUCUACUCAAGAGCGUCGGUGGGGUGAGCAAGUCUUCGGAUGAGCUUAUUCUGUCCGGACUCUGGAUUAGUCUGUAGCGAACUUCUUAGAGGGACUAUCUGUGUUAAGCAGAUGGAAGUUUGAGGCAAAAACAGGUCUGUGAUGCCCUUAGAUGUUCUGGGCUGCACGCGCGCUACACUGACGGAUGCAACGAGUUAUUCACUUGGCCGAUAGGUCUGGUUAAUCUUUUGAACGUCCUCGUGCUGGGGAUAGAUGAUUGGAAAUAUUCAUCUUCAACGAGGAAUACCUAGUAAGCGCAAGUCAUCAGCUUGCGUUGAUUACGUCCCUGCCCCUUGUACACACCG